rnacentral:tRNA from 1 species
UGGGGUGUAGCCAAGUGGUUAAGGCAUCGGUUUUUGAUACCGACAACCCUGGUUCAAAUCCAGGCACCUCAG